rnacentral:rRNA from 1 species
GAAACGACUGCUAAGACUGGAUAGGAAAAGUAAAGGCAUCUUUACUUUUUUAAAAGAUCUUCUUUGAAGGUAUGCUUAAGGAGGGGCUUGCGACGCAUUAGUUAGUUGGUAGGGUAAAGGCCUACCAAGACUAUGAUGUGUAGCUGGACUGAGAGGUUGAACAGCCACAUUGGGACUGAGACACGGCCCAAACUCCUACGGGAGGCAGCAGUAGGGAAUUUUCGGCAAUGGAGGAAACUCUGACCGAGCAACGCCGCGUGAACGAUGAAGUACCUCGGUAUGUAAAGUUCUUUUAUUAAGGAAGAAAAAAGAGUGGAAAAACUCCCUUGACGGUACUUAAUGAAUAAGCCCCGGCUAAUUAUGUGCCAGCAGCCGCGGUAAUACAUAAGGGGCGAGCGUAAUCCGGAAUUAUUGGGCGUAAAGGGUGCGUAGGCGGUUUAAUAAGUCUAUAGUUUAAUUUCAGUGCUUAACGCUGUUGUGCUAUAGAAACUGUUUUACUAGAGUGAGAUAGAGGCAAGCGGAAUUCCAUGUGUAGCGGUAAAAUGCGUAAAUAUAUGGAGGAACACCAGAGGCGUAGGCGGCUUGCUGGGUCUUUACUGACGCUGAGGCACGAAAGCGUGGGGAGCAAACAGGAUUAGAUACCCUGGUAGUCCACGCCGUAAACGAUGAGUACUAAGUGUCGGGUAAAACUGGUACUGAAGUUAACACAUUAAGUACUCCGCCUGAGUAGUACGUACGCAAGUAUGAAACUUAAAGGAAUUGACGGGACUCCGCACAAGCGGUGGAUCAUGUUGUUUAAUUCGAAGAUACACGAAAAACCUUACCAGGUCUUGACAUUUUCUUGCGAAGUUAUAGAAAUAUAAUGGAGGUCAUCAGGAAAACAGGUGGUGCAUGGUUGUCGUCAGCUCGUGUCGUGAGAUGUUAGGUUAAGUCCUAAAACGAGCGCAACCCUUGUCGUUAGUUGCCAGCAUGUAAUGAUGGGGACUUUAACGAGACUGCCAAUGAAAAAUUGGAGGAAGGUGGGGAUUACGUCAAAUCAUCAUGCCCCUUAUGAUCUGGGCUACAAACGUGAUACAAUGGUUGAUACAAAGAGCAGCUGAAACGCGAGUUCUUAGCCAAUCUCAAAAAAUCAAUCUCAGUUCGGAUUGAAGUCUGCAACUCGACUUCAUGAAGUUGGAAUCGCUAGUAAUCGCGAAUCAGCAUGUCGCGGUGAAUACGUUCUCGGGGUUUGUACACACCGCCCGUCA